rnacentral:rRNA from 1 species
GGAUUAGGCAUGCAAGUCGAACGAGGAUAUAUCCUUCGGGAUAUAAGCCGAGUGGCGCAAGGGUGAGUAAUGCAUAGAUUACCUGCCUCCAGGAUAAGGACAACUUUGUGAAACCGGAGCUAAUACUUAAUAACACAGAAGAAAAUAAUUUCUUUUGUCAAAGGGAGGGUAGCAAUACCUUUUGCCUGGAGAGGGGUUUAUGUCCUAUCAGCUUGUUGGUGGGGUAAUGGCCUACCAAGGCAAAGACGGGUAGCCGGCCUUAGAGGGUGGUCGGCCACACUGGGACUGAGACACUGCCCAGACUUCUACGGAAGGCUGCAGUCGAGAAUCUUUCGCAAUGCCCGAAAGG